rnacentral:rRNA from 1 species
UGGGGAAUAUUGCACAAUGGGCGCAAGCCUGAUGCAGCCAUGCCGCGUGUAUGAAGAAGGCCUUCGGGUUGUAAAGUACUUUCAGCGAGGAGGAAGGCAUUAAGGUUAAUAACCUUGGUGAUUGACGUUACUCGCAGAAGAAGCACCGGCUAACUCCGUGCCAGCAGCCGCGGUAAUACGGGGGUGCAAAGCGUUAAUCGGAAUUACUGGGCGUAAAGCGCACGCAGGCGGUCUGUCAAGUCGGAUGUGAAAUCCCCGGGCUCAACCUGGGAACUGCAUUCGAAACUGGCAGGCUAGAGUCUUGUAGAGGGGGUAGAAUUCCAGGUGUAGCGGUGAAAUUGCGUAGAGAUCUGGAGGAAUACCGGUGGCGAAGGCGGGCCCCCUGCGACAAAAGACUGACGCUCAGGUGCGAAAGCGUGGGAGCAAACA